rnacentral:rRNA from 1 species
GANAGAGCUUACCAUGCAGUCUCUUGAUCCUUCGGGUGAAGGUGGCGGACGGGUGAGUAACGCGUAAAGAACUUGCCUUACAGACUGGGACAACAUUUGGAAACGAAUGCUAAUACCGGAUAUUAUGACUGAGUCGCAUGAUUUGGUUAUGAAAGCUAUAUGCGCUGUGAGAGAGCUUUGCGUCCCAUUAGUUAGUUGGUGAGGUAACGGCUCACCAAGACGAUGAUGGGUAGCCGGCCUGAGAGGGUGAACGGCCACAAGGGGACUGAGACACGGCCCUUACUCCUACGGGAGGCAGCAGUGGGGAAUAUUGGACAAUGGACCAAAAGUCUGAUCCAGCAAUUCUGUGUGCACGAUGAAGUUUUUCGGAAUGUAAAGUGCUUUCAGUUGGGAAGAAGUCAGUGACGGUACCAACAGAAGAAGCGACGGCUAAAUACGUGCCAGCAGCCGCGGUAAUACGUAUGUCGCAAGCGUUAUCCGGAUUUAUUGGGCGUAAAGCGCGUCUAGGCGGUUUAGUAAGUCUGAUGUGAAAAUGCGGGGCUCAACCCCGUAUUGCGUUGGAAACUGUUAAACUAGAGUACUGGAGAGGUAGGCGGAACUACAAGUGUAGAGGUGAAAUUCGUAGAUAUUUGUAGGAAUGCCGAUGGGGAAGCCAGCCUACUGGACAGAUACUGACGCUAAAGCGCGAAAGCGUGGGUAGCAAACAGGAUUAGAUACCCUGGUAGUCCACGCCGUAAACGAUGAUUACUAGGUGUUGGGGGGUCGAACCUCAGCGCCCNAAGCUAACGCGAUAAGUAAUCCGCCUGGGGAGUACGUACGCAAGUAUGAAACUCAAAGGAAUUGACGGGGACCCGCACAACCGGUGGAGCAUGUGGUUUAAUUCGACGCAACGCGAAGAACCUUACCAGCGUUUGACAUCCCAAGAAGUUAACAGAGAUGUUUUCGUGCCUCUUCGGAGGAACUUGGUGACAGGUGGUGCAUGGCUGUCGUCAGCUCGUGUCGUGAGAUGUUGGGUUAAGUCCCGCAACGAGCGCAACCCCUUUCGUAUGUUACCAUCAUUAAGUUGGGGACUCAUGCGAGACUGCCUGCGAUGAGCAGGAGGAAGGUGGGGAUGACGUCAAGUCAUCAUGCCCCUUAUACGCUGGGCUACACACGUGCUACAAUGGGUAGUACAGAGAGCUGCAAACCUGCGAGGGUAAGCUAAUCUCAUAAAACUAUUCUUAGUUCGGAUUGUACUCUGCAACUCGAGUACAUGAAGUUGGAAUCGCUAGUAAUCGCAAAUCAGCUAUGUUGCGGUGAAUACGUUCUCGGGUCUUGUACACACCGCCCGUCACACCACGAGAGUUGGUUGCACCUGAAGUAACAGGCCUAACCGUAAGGAGGGAUUUCCGAGGGUG